rnacentral:rRNA from 1 species
CCUACGGGAGGCAGCAGUGGGGAAUUGUUCGCAAUGGGCGCAAGCCUGACGACGCAACGCCGCGUGGAGGAUGAAGACCUUCGGGUCGUAAACUCCUUUCGAUCGAGACGAAUGUUUUCCGGGUGAACAAUCCGGAAAAGUGACGGUACCGAGAGAAGAAGCCCCGGCUAACUCUGUGCCAGCAGCCGCGGUAAUACAGGGGGGGCAAGCGUUGUUCGGAAUUACUGGGCGUAAAGGGCUUGUAGGUGGCCAACUAAGUCAGACGUGAAAUCCCUCAGCUUAACUGGGGAACUGCGUCUGAUACUGGAUGGCUUGAGUUUGGGAGAGGGAUGCGGAAUUCCAGGUGUAGCGGUGAAAUGCGUAGAUAUCUGGAGGAACACCGGUGGCGAAGGCGGCAUCCUGGACCAACACUGACACUGAGGAGCGAAAGCCAGGGGAGCAAACGGGGAUUAGAUACCCCGGUAGUCCUGGCCCUAAACGAUGAAUGCUUGGUGUGGCGGGUAUCGAUCCCUGCCGUGCCGAAGCUAACGCAUUAAGCAUUCCGCCUGGGGAGUACGGUGCAAGGCUGAAACUUCAAAUGAAUUGACGG